rnacentral:lncRNA from 10 species
UCACAGAGACAAUGACGUUCGUGUUUCUGUGAGACAUAAGCGGUGUAGCACCUGGCAGGCACUGAUGAAUUGUUCUCCUCCUCCCAGGAGCCCUGCUAUAGGGUCGAGCUACUGAGGCACCUUCCCAGUGCUGGAAAUGCUUCCUGUGGACACCUUCCCCCACCCCAAAGGAAGGAUUGGGUCAAUGGUCUUAAGCUCCAGCCCAUGCGGGGGUGGUCAAGCCUUCAAAGUGGAGGGAAACCCAGGCUCCAGGUGGCUCUCCUGUGACACGUCGAUGAACAAAUCCUCCAGGAAUU